rnacentral:rRNA from 1 species
UACGUAGGGGGCGAGCGUUGUCCGAAGUUACUGGGCGUAAAGCGCGCGUAGGCGGCUCUUUAAGUCUGGUGUGAAAGGUUCAGGGCUCAACCCGAACAGUGCACUGGAUACUGGAGAGCUUGAGUUAGGGAGAGGAGAGUGGAAUUCCUGGUGUAGCGGUGAAAUGCGUAGAUAUCAGGAGGAACACCUGUGGUGUAGACAGCUUACUGGACCACUUCUGACGCUGAGACACGAAAGCGUGGGUAGCAAACAGG